rnacentral:rRNA from 1 species
UACGUAGGUGGCAAGCGUUGUCCGGAAUUACUGGGCGUAAAGGGCGUGUAGGCGGCCAAUUAAGUCAGAUGUGAAAUCCCCGGGCUUAACCUGGGAACUGCAUUUGAGACUGGAUGGCUUGAGGACCGGAGAGGGUAGUGGAAUUCCUAGUGUAGCGGUGAAAUGCGUAGAUAUUAGGAGGAACACCAGUGGCGAAGGCGACUACCUGGACGGCACCUGACGCUGAGGCGCGAAAGCUAGGGUAGCAAACGGG